rnacentral:misc_RNA from 1 species
UCCGGUUUGUCACCGGCAGUCUCGCAUGAGUCCCCAGCAUUACCUGAUGGCAACAUGCGACGAGGGUUGCGCUCGUUGCGGGACUUAACCCAACAUCUCACGACACGAGCUGACGACAGCCAUGCACCACCUGUGAGGAUGCCCCGAAGGGAAGGCCUGUUUCCAGGCCGGUCAUCCACAUGUCAAGCCCAGGUAAGGUUCUUCGCGUUGCGUCGAAUUGAACCACAUACUCCACCGCUUGUGCGGGCCCCCGUCAAUUCCUUUGAGUUUCAAUCUUGCGAUCGUACUUCCCAGGUGGAUUACUUAAUGCUUUCGCUCAGACACCAACAGUGUAUCGCUGAUGUCGAGUAAUCAUCGUUUAGGGCGUGGACUAC